GCAUAUCCACUAGUGAACACUUGCUACCAAAAGGAUGUUCUACUAUGAACUUAAAGUCUGAACCAACUCCCAGAUUUUCCACAAAAACAAGUUCAUGAGCAAACUCUGAAAACACACAACCUUCUCCAGAAUUUCCUGCAAAAUGAGUGCUCCGCAAACUGCCACCCUCACCUACUGCUUGAUCGUUAGCCUUAAGAAACCUGAAAAUAAAUAAACAAACAUCAGAUGCAUUUGAACAUAAACAUAUAAACAGAACGAAUGGCAGGGAAAAUUCAGAGUAAACAGAAAUGCUACUAUAUAGUCCAAGCACAUAUUAUUUUCUAAAAUGAAAUGAAUAGGGAGCUAUCAUUUUGAUUUGCAGGAGAGGUACAGAGCGUAUGAAAUAGCAAGUUUCAGUUUCAAGAUUUGAUCAGUUGGUUAUAAUAUUUCAGGAAAAGGAAAAGGCGGGUUAUUGGACAUUUCGGUGACAAGGCUAGGCAUUCUUCAGGUUUAUAUAAACGAUAUAUGGGCCAGUUUGCAGUUAUGCACUUGAUAUGUUAAUAAUGCCUGCUAGAUCAGAAGCACUCCUUUAGAUAAUGAAAUUUAGUUCAGGAAACACUAAUUCUCCUGGAUAAAAGGUCCAUGCUAAAAGACAUCCAUAGUUGUCAGCAACACUUUAUGGUGCUGCCACAACACUGUAUGACUCGAAGAACAAGUUCGAUUAGCAUGCUUGGCAUUCUACAGAAACAUCUGACAUGAUUAAAUAUUUGAUCAUGUGUAUGAUAAAACAAUCAAUGACAACGCUUGGCAUAGAUACACAGAGAUGUGAACUAGAACUUACCAGUGCCAAUAAAACAUGAACUAGAACUUACCAGUGCCAAACAUACCGCAACAGUAUAUACUAGUACUAAUUGGCAAAAAGUGCACAAGAUUGCUCUUCCAAAUCAUGAAUUGCAUGGAUUGAGUCAGAGAUAUAUGUAAAAAGAAAGAAAACAAACCCCUAAACAUGUGCAUGGAUGACAUACAGCCAAUGAUGGAUCAAUAUAUAUAUAGAAGCAUGAGCAGAGAGAUAUAUAGUACCCAGAGACAUUAACUGGUAACUUGGCACACUUUUCAAUUUGUGUGGUGUCUAUCUGAACGAACUAGAACAUCUG
rnacentral:lncRNA from 1 species